rnacentral:rRNA from 1 species
GUCGAGCGGAGUUGAUGAGAAGCUUGCUUCUCUGAUGCUUAGCGGCGGACGGGUGAGUAACACGUAGGCAACCUGCCCUCAAGCUUGGGACAACUACCGGAAACGGUAGCUAAUACCGAAUACAUGAUUUGUUCGCCUGAACGAAUUUGGAAAGACGGAGCAAUCUGUCACUUGAGGAUGGGCCUGCGGCGCAUUAGCUAGUUGGUGAGGUAACGGCUCACCAAGGCGACGAUGCGUAGCCGACCUGAGAGGGUGAUCGGCCACACUGGGACUGAGACACGGCCCAGACUCCUACGGGAGGCAGCAGUAGGGAAUCUUCCGCAAUGGACGCAAGUCUGACGGAGCAACGCCGCGUGAGUGAUGAAGGUUUUCGGAUCGUAAAGCUCUGUUGCCAGGGAAGAACGUCUGAUAGAGUAACUGCUAUCGGAGUGACGGUACCUGAGAAGAAAGCCCCGGCUAACUACGUGCCAGCAGCCGCGGUAAUACGUAGGGGGCAAGCGUUGUCCGGAAUUAUUGGGCGUAAAGCGCGCGCAGGCGGCUUUUUAAGUCCGGUGUCACAGCCCAAGGCUCAACCUUGGGUCGCACUGGAAACUG